rnacentral:misc_RNA from 1 species
GAAAUGCGAUACGUAAUGUGAAUUGCAGAAUUUAGUGAAUCAUCGAAUCUUUGAACGCACAUUGCGCCCCUGGGUACUCCUAGGGGCAUGCCUGUUCGAGCGUCAUAACAACCCCCUCGAGCCGACUAGGCUUGGUCUUGGGGCCCGCCCGCGUUGGCGCGGCGGCCCUUAAACCCAGUGGCGGUGCCGGUGGUGCUUUCCGCGUAGUCACAUUUCUCGCGCGAGGGCCCGAUCCGGACCCAGCCAGCAACCAGGUCCGCGGCGCUCUGCGCUGCGACCUCUCUCUGGUUGACCUCGAAUCAGGUAGGGAUACCCGCUGAACUUAA